CAGAAAUAGCUCCUCUCAUCUAAAAAUAUUUAUGCAAGUAAAAGUCAUUAAUACAUCUUACUAAUUUUUUAUUGGGCUUUGACCAAAUAGUUUUUUUUCCUUGUACAGAAAUAUGUAUGCAAAACUAGAUGAUAAAAAUAGUAACUUCAAAAAUUGUUGAGUGUUCCUACAUAGCUUACUUUGGAAAAUGAACGUUAUAUAGCACAAACCAUCUAGAACUUUUCCGUCAGGAUAUUUAAUUGCUCUAUUAAACUAUAGUAGGCCUCAAGGAGACAUAUUUUAUAAAUUUAAUGCUGCCUACUUUGAAAGAGACUCGAAAUCUAUACUUGAACAAGGAUUCAUCAUUUAGAGGUAAUUCCUUUACUAACAUUUACUACCAUAUGUUAUUCUACUUGCCAAAAUAAAUUAUUCCUCCUCUAUGUGUUCUUUACCAAUUUCUUUCGUUUCUAAUUUUGUACUUAAAAUGUUUAUUACUUAUUCUACUAUAAUUGACUAUAGCUCUCUAGACACCUUCAUCAUCUGUUUCCAUUUACGUUGCCGUAUGUUUUUUACAUCCAUUCACUAUGAAAUUACCUAACUAACUAUUGCUUUUGCUGUCAUACCAGGCAAUUGUUAAAGAAUUUCAAGCUUGAUGUGAAAGAACCAAUUCCAUGUGAUCGAUAUAGUAAGUAUUCAUUAUCAAUUUCAAUUUCAAACAAGUUAUUGUGAUUCAAUAUUACUUCCAAUAUUUUAUAUUCAUUAUUAUUUUAUCAUAAUUGUUGAACUGUUCCUUAAAUUUAUUCCUUUCAAAAGUAGUCUCGAUGAUCCAUUUCACAUGUUUUGCUGAAAUAAGAACUUGUGAUGUAGCUUUCAUGUACUUUUAAAGAGUAAUCCCAACUUUACACCAUUCUGAUGGCAAAGUACUUGUGGUCAGAUGAACUUGGCAACAAGGAUACAGGUGGCUCAUCUGGCUCUCAAGCAUCGCCUGAAGAUAAAGCAACAACAAAGGAUUAUUGUAUUUGGUGGAGCUUAGUCUCUACUAUUACUUCUAAUUUCAUUAUGCUCACUUUUUUUCUUCUUCCUUUUUGUUUUGUUUUGUUUAAUAUUUUUUAAAACUUGUGAUUUUAGUCUUGUGAAAUAUGACAAAGGAGUUGGAGAUGACUGGUGGGAAUUGGAAAAAAAAAAACCAUGUCUCUUGAUUCAAGUUCAAGACUAUCCAUUUGAUACCUUAUAUUUUUUGUAGGCAGUGGAUGGCGGUGGUGUUGCAGGCAAAAGAUGCACUGGAAUGGGCUUAUAGAGGAGAAGGAGCUGUCAAGUCAAUUGUGUUAUUGCUCAUUCUGUAAAAUCUCAUGAUUUUAUAUGUCUUCUUCUCCUCUUUUUUAUUCUUACCUUUUGUUGAUCAAAUAUUUUUGACUUUCACUUUUGCUUAUCCUGUGAAUAUUAGUCUUUCAACACACCGAUUUUAUGAACAAACACCUUUUUAGUUAUUUAUUGCUGCUGCCUUGAUUAGGAAAAAUUGAUUCACUUCUAAAUUUUUAUAGAGACGUUUAGUUUUUCUUCUUCCAACA
rnacentral:lncRNA from 1 species